rnacentral:lncRNA from 1 species
CACAUAAACUUUAUAGUUCACAUAUUGCUAUAUCUAGAUAACUUGUCCUUUUCAUAAAAAUGAACUGGUGACUGGUUUCCCAUGUGAGCUUAUCUUAGGGCUCAGGAUGAUGCAGCUGGAAUGUCUUGAGAGAUCAUAAUGGCAAGCUUGCUCCGCAUUUUCUUUCCAAGGGAAAAAAAAACUAGCCUUUUUCUUAUUAUUGCUUGUUCUCUC